rnacentral:rRNA from 1 species
UGAGCUUGAUCCUGGCUCAGAUUGAACGCUGGCGGCAGGCCUAACACAUGCAAGUCGAGCGGUAGAAAGUAGCUUGCUACUUUUGAGAGCGGCGGACGGGUGAGUAACGCGUGGGAAUCUACCUGGUAGUGGGGGACAACUUGGGGAAACUCAAGCUAAUACCGCAUACGCCCUACGGGGGAAAGGAGGGGCUCUUCGGACCUUUCGCUAUCAGAUGAGCCUGCGUAGGAUUAGCUAGUUGGUAGGGUAAAGGCCUACCAAGGCGACGAUCCUUAGCUGGUCUGAGAGGAUGAUCAGCCACACUGGGACUGAGACACGGCCCAGACUCCUACGGGAGGCAGCAGUGGGGAAUAUUGGACAAUGGGGGCAACCCUGAUCCAGCCAUGCCGCGUGUGUGAAGAAGGCCUUCGGGUUGUACAUAGAGCACUUGUACAAGUGCGCUGAGAGAUAGGGGUCGAUAGCAGUAUGAGACUAGCUCUUGCUGUAGCUGAACACUUAGUAACCGUUAGGCGCAUCAGAAAGAACGCACA